rnacentral:rRNA from 1 species
UACGAGGGGGGCAAAUGUUGUUCGGAAUCACUGGGCUUAAAGGGUGCGUAGGCGGCCAUUUAAGUAGGGUGUGAAAUGCCAGAGCUCAACUUUGGCAUUGCGCUCUAGACUGAAUGGCUUGAGUGAGAUAGGGGUGUGCGGAACUUCCAGUGGAGCGGUGAAAUGUGUUGAUAUUGGAAGGAACGCCGGUGGCGAAAGCGGCACACUGGGUCUUAACUGACGCUGAGGCACGAAAGCCAGGGGAGCGGAACGGG